GCAGAUCCUCGGCACUGGUUUGGCACAAGACUUCCCGAGCAGGACAAGUAACCCACAAAAUGUAGCCAGUAUCCAGGGCUGCUCACAGCUUUGCUUCUUGUUAAGGAAGAUGAUGGUCUUAAAAUGGUUUUACCACAAGAAACUUCCCCUACAUGGAAUAUACCUGUUGCUUUCCCCUGAGGCCUCACACUGCCACUCUGAGGAGUAUAAUGAUAGAUCCAGAGGGUUUACCACAGAUCAUGGGGAGACAAUACAGGCCAACGCUGGCAUGUGAAGACUCCAAGAAACGAAUCACAAGACCCUGAACUCUCCCCGACACACCCUCUGUGGAUCUUCCAAGUCCAGGGACAGAGCUGGCUGGACUUUUCUCACAGUAAUGUACAGUAUGAGUAAACUUUUAUGACCAAAACCUUUAUCCAACACUGAGCUAUUGAACUGAGUAUUGCUAUUGUUGUCACUGGCCCCU